rnacentral:rRNA from 1 species
UACGGGGGGGGCAAGCGUUGUUCGGAAUUACUGGGCGUAAAGGGCUCGUAGGCGGCCAACUAAGUCAGUCGUGAAAUCCCUCGGCUUAACCGGGGAACUGCAUCUGAUACUGGAUGGCUUGAGUUCGGGAGAGGGAUGCGGAAUUCCAGGUGUAGCGGUGAAAUGCGUAGAUAUCUGGAGGAACACCGGUGGCGAAGGCGGCAUCCUGGACCGACACUGACGCUGAGGAGCGAAAGCCAGGGGAGCAAACGGG